UGGGGAAUUUUGGACAAUGGGCGCAAGCCUGAUCCAGCAAUGCCGCGUGAGUGAAGAAGGCCUUCGGGUUGUAAAGCUCUUUUAGUUGAAAAGAAAAAAUCGUGACUAAUAAUCACGAUUCAUGACGGUAUCAACAGAAAAAGCACCGGCUAACUACGUGCCAGCAGCCGCGGUAAUACGUAGGGUGCAAGCGUUAAUCGGAAUUACUGGGCGUAAAGGGUGCGUAGGCGGUUUUGUAAGUCAGAUGUGAAAUCCCCGGGCUUAACCUGGGAAUUGCGUUUGAAACUGCAAGACUAGAGUGCGGCAGAGGGAGGUGGAAUUCCAUGUGUAGCAGUGAAAUGCGUAGAGAUAUGGAAGAACAUCGAUGGCGAAGGCAACCUCCUGGGCUAGCACUGACGCUCA
rnacentral:rRNA from 1 species